AAUCCAUAGUGAGGGCACCUUCUCAAUAAGUCCUUUUUUCUCUCCCAUGCAUCAUAAAGUGUUUCUAAAUCCAUCUGCACAAAAGAAGAAAUAGCAUUCCUUAGUUU
rfam:Gossypium arboreum cultivar AKA8401 contig_808_1, whole genome shotgun sequence.